rnacentral:rRNA from 1 species
UACCAGCACCCCGAGUGGUCGGGACGAUUAUUGGGCCUAAAGCAUCCGUAGCCGGUCCUGCAAGUCUUCCGUUAAAUCCACCUGCUUAACAGAUGGGCUGCGGAGGAUACUACAUGACUAGGAGGCGGGAGAGGCAAGCGGUACUUAAUGGGUAGGGGUAAAAUCCGUUGAUCCAUUGAAGACCACCAGUGGCGAAGGCGGCUUGCCAGAACGCACUCGACGGUGAGGGAUGAAAGCUGGGGGAGCAAACCGGAUUAGAUACCCGGGUAGUCCCAGCUGUAAACGAUGCAGACUCGGUGAUGAAUAGGCUUCGUGCCUAUUCAGUGCCGCAGGGAAGCCGUUAAGUCUGCCGCCUGGGGAGUACGGUCGCAAGACUGAAACUUAAAGGAAUUGGCGGGGAGCACCACGAAGGGGUGAAGCCUGCGGUUC